rnacentral:ncRNA from 1 species
GAACAAGUGAUGCUUGUGACUAGUAGCUUAGGAAACUUUUUAGCGAGUCCAUGGUGGGUGAGAAUGGAUAGGGGGACCUGGGUGAAUCCACACAAGGACUGCCUACGACUUAGUAUUAAGGAAGUAGGGCCGGCACAAACCGUUAUUUGUAAGUGUAAGGCAAGACUUGCCUUGAAGCAGGGUGGUACCGCGCAGAGUGAUGACCGUUUCGUCCCUUUG